CCAAAGGUUAUAUGAUUAAGACCAAUGUGAAAAUAUUUAGGAAAAACAUGGUCUUGUAGGGCUAGGUCUAAACCAGAAUUUAUAGAAAGAUUAAUAGAUUCCCUAGGUGUAGCUAAAAGUGCAUUAUCUUUUUGAUUAAAAGAUAGGACCUCGGCUAUAGAAAAGGGUUGGUUUUGACCUAUUGCAAUCAACUCCGAACACAGAUCAUAAUUAGGGGCAGAACGUGUUGACUCCCAUGGUCUAUGGCUGAUCUCCGAAGGUGCACAAAAUUUAAUAAUAGGUACGGAAUUUGAGUUAUCCAUAAAGAUAAAAAAAAGAUAAAAGAAUAAAAGUAUAAAAGUAUAAUACAAGAUAAUAGCAAGACUCAAAGUUAUCUCAGCAAACCGUCUUUCUCCCCGGCAACGGCGCCAGAAAUGCUUGUUGAUAUUUGGUAACGCAAUUAGAAAAUGAUCCGCAAGCGCAC
rnacentral:lncRNA from 1 species